CAGUCGAGCGGGCACCUUCGGGUGUCAGCGGCGGACGGGUGAGUAACGCGUGGGAACGUGCCUUCUGGUCUGGAAUAACCCUGGGAAACUAGGGCUAAUACCGGAUACGCCCUUUUGGGGAAAGGUUUACUGCCGGAAGAUCGGCCCGCGUCUGAUUAGCUAGUUGGUGGGGUAAUGGCCUACCAAGGCGACGAUCAGUAGCUGGUCUGAGAGGAUGAUCAGCCACACUGGGACUGAGACACGGCCCACACUCCUACGGGAGGCAGCAGUGGGGAAUAUUGGACAAUGGGCGCAAGCCUGAUCCACCCAUGCCGCGUGAGUGAUGAAGGCCUUAGGGUUGUAAAGCUCUUUUAUCCGGGACGAUAAUGACGGUACCGGAAGAAUAAGCCCCGGCUAACUUCGUGCCAGCACCCGCGGUAAUACGAAGGGGGCUAGCGUUGCUCGGAAUCACUGGGCGUAAAGGGCGCGUAGGCGGCGUUUUAAGUCGGGGGUGAAAGCCUGUGGCUCAACCACAGAAUGGCCUUCGAUACUGGGACGCUUGAGUAUGGUAGAGGUUGGUGGAACUGCGAGUGUAGAGGUGAAAUUCGUAGAUAUUCGCAAGAACACCGGUGGCGAAGGCGGCCAACUGGACCAUUACUG
rnacentral:rRNA from 1 species